UGACCCUUCGGGGGAAUGAAAUCCUAGAAAGUGGCGAACGGGUGAGUAACGCGUGGGUAACCUGCCCUAUGGAAAGGAAUAGCCUCGGGAAACUGGGAGUAAUGCCUUAUAAUAUACGAGAGUCGCAUGGCUUUUGUAUUAAACGCUCCGGUGCCAUAGGAUGGACCCGCGUCCCAUUAGCUAGUUGGUGAGAUAACAGCCCACCAAGGCAACGAUGGGUAACCGGUCUGAGAGGGCGAACGGUCACACUGGAACUGAGACACGGUCCAGACUCCUACGGGAGGCAGCAGUGGGGAAUAUUGGGCAAUGGGGGAAACCCUGACCCAGCGACGCCGCGUGAGGGAAGAAGGCCUUAGGGUCGUAAACCUCUGUUGUGUGGGAAGAAGAGCGUGACGGUACCACACGAGGAAGUCCCGGCUAACUACGUGCCAGCAGCCGCGGUAAUACGUA
rnacentral:rRNA from 1 species